rnacentral:lncRNA from 1 species
GGUUCUUCGGCCUGGACGCUUCCCUCCACACGCGCGGCCGCCGGCUGCCGGCCGGGACAACUUUGAAUGCCUCUGGGACACUUGGGUCCCUCAUCGGCAAUGUUGGGGGCAGAAAUGGGUUUGGAGCGAGUGCUCAACUGUCACUGCCCCGACAGAAGUGACAACUUCAGAUUUUCUUGUCUGAGGUUAUUUUAUUCGGAGCCCCUGGCAAAUCGUGAUCACCUGGGACCUGUGUGGGUCUAUCACGGCCAAGGAAGGAAUGUUCAAUUUGUGGCGGGAGAUCCGGAUGAGUGAGGCGACAAAUACAUGGUGCAGAAACGUUACAUUUACGUUCCAGUCGUGAGUGACUGGUUUGUUUUUGUUUGUUCCAACAGUGUUUCCAUUCACUGUAGAAAGAAACACAAGCGGUUGGCGGAGGAUGAUGAGUAAGUAUCCAGACCAAUUUGUCCUCUUUGUGGUCGCGGUUAGUUUAACACGUGUAUCCUAUUUGAAGUGAAAACGGUGAAGCACAUGUAUCUCUUUAAACUGCUGACAUUGUUUGCCUUUUAGGGGCAGAAACUGAGUGGCGGGCAGGUAGAGGAAAAUGCGCAUGCAUUUUAAACUGUCAUUUCAGACACAAAAGUAUUAAACCAAAACAAAAAGAAAAUCCUAGGCUCUGUAUUGGAAGGGUUGGUGUUCUCCGCGGAGGUAGUAACCAUGUAACCUGUUCUCUUUCUCCUUAGGAAGAGUCCAGAAACUUACAAAUUUUGUAGCCAGAUACCUGGUCACUCUGCAAUGCUUUGGAGUAGCUUAUUCCAAAUGAGUAUAUACAAGGUCUACCUGUUGGUUUUUGUUAAGAUCGCCUGUCUGUGGAGCCGUGUCUAACCAGGGCUGUCCUCAAACUUAUUAGAUCUGUUUGCCUCUGCAUGUUCAGAUUAUAAAGGCCCACAUGCUACCAGGCCUCAAUACCUGCCUUUUCUUUUUUUUCUUGACCAUUACUAUUAUACAAAUUCCAGAUGAGUAUGUGGAAGUUAGAGGACAGCAUUUGGAAAUUGGCUCUCUCCCACCAUGUGGGUUCCAGGAUCAGAUUCAAGUUGUCAGUUUAGGGGCAAGUGUCCUUACUCAUUGAAUCGUCUUGCUUUCCUGCUUUUCCUGUGCUAAGGGUCACCUAGGGUGAUCACGCUAGGCAGUUACAACCCCAUUCACUUGUCCCAGGCCCUGUCCUGGAUAGUCUGUCUGAUCCUACCUCCACCCGACCCUGGUAGAAGCUAAAUCCUUUUCUGACAAUGACGACUUAAUCCAGUAAUCCCAACUGAGAAGGAGAAUUUGGGGCUAGCUCUCAAAGCACAAACCAAACAAGAGCUAGUGAGGAAGGUGGAGGCAGGAGGAUGAGACCUUGAAGGUCUUCCCUCUGAAACAGUGACUUGUGACCAGCUUGGGACUCAUGAGAUCCUGUCUUAAAAAGGGGGGGGGGAAGAAGGAACUAAAAAUGAAUUUUUAAAAAUGAAUUUUGAGCCGGGUGUGGUGGCGCAUGCCUUUAAUCCCAGCACUCGGGAGGCAGAGGCAGGCGGAUUUCUGAGUUCGAGGCCAGCCUGGUCUACAGAGUGAGUUCCAGGACAGCCAAGGCUACACAGAGAAACCCUGUCUUGAAAAAAACAAAAAAAAAAAAAAAAAAAAAUGAAUUUUGAUACUUAGACACAUUAAAAAAUUUUUAAAAAUUAAAAAAAAAAAAAAAACCAGAAGGUGGUGGCCUGUGCCUUUAGUCCCAGAACUUGAGGCCAAGUUAGGCAGAGCUUAAAGUUAAAGGACAGUCAAGGCUACUGAGAGAAGCCCUGCCUCAGGGGAGAAGCGAGAGUUGAAAAUUUCCUUAUUUUUUUGUGAAUGAGGGGUAAGGGAGGCAGAAGUAGCCCCAUCUUGGAUGUUAUUGAUAUCAUCCACCUCACCUUCUGUUUGGUUGGCUUUUGGUUUGUUGUUUUGUGGUUUGUUUUGUUUUGUUUUUUUUUUUUUCAAGGGUGGCCUUGGACUUAGAGAUCAGAGAUCAGCCCGCCUCUUGCCUCCGAAGUACACCACCACUUUUUGUUUGUUUGUUUGUUUUUUGUUUUUGAGGCAAAGGCUCACUAUGUUGUUCUGGAAUGUACUAGGUAGAACAAGCUAGCUUUGGCCACUUAUCUAUGCUAACUAAGUGCUGGGAUUAAAGUGCCUGCAGUCCCAGCUUUGCUGCAGUUUUUGUUUUGUUUUUGUUCUGUGUGUGUGUGAGAUGCAUUUAUAAGUGGAAGCCAAAGGUUGGCAUCAGGUAUCUUCCUCAAUUACUUGAAAUGUUCUAUUUUGAGGCAGAGUAGCUCACUCAGACCCAGAACCUGCCUUUGGCUUGCCCUGUGAAUCCCAUCCCUACUUCCUGAGCCCUUUGAUUACAGGUGGGUUCCAUGCCUACCUGUCAUUUACAUACAUCUCUGGUCUUCAUGCUGCCACAGCAUGUAUGGGACUUUUCCCAUUGAGCCAACUCCAUGGCCCCCACCUAGUUUUUGUAUGGUUAGGGCUCAGACAGAGCUAGGGAUUUUCCUGCCUCUGCUCUCUGGUGCUAGUGUUACAAGUCACUAUGCUUUGCUUUCUUUAAUGUUGGUUCUGAGGAUUGAACCCGGGUCCUCAUGUACAUGGCAGCGCCCUUCCCACUGAGCUGUCUGCCCCAGUCCAAAAAGUUGCCUUAGAUCAACUUAGCCCUUAGCCCACAAACCCCUACAUCAGGGGAUUUGUUGCCUUGGGAUUGCUAUAGAUAACUCAAGAACUUUUUUUUGUCUUCUAUAGUGCUAUAGGUAAUUGAAUUACUGAUACCAGUGUUUGCUUAAGGUGUAGAAACUAUGCUAGGUACAGUUGCAAAGGUCUUUAAUUCCAGUGCUCAGGGGGCAGAGGCAGGUGGAUCGCUUCAAGGACAGCCAGGGCUAUACAAUGAAAUCCUGUCUGGGGGUAGGGGAUGUAGGAACUUGAUUUAAUUCAUACAUUUAUUUCUAGCACUUUGGAGACGGAGGCAGGUGGAUCUCUGAGUUCAGCCUGGUCUACAGAGCAAAUUCUAGAACAGCCAGGCUUACACAGAGAAACCCUGUCUCAAAAAAAUUAGCUGCCUUUGAUUUGUGGAUGGAGAAAGAUAUCAGCCUUGAAAAGUGGGUAUGUUGCAGGAUAUUUGCACUUUGUGGGCCACAAGAUUGUGUGAACUAGAACAACCUUGUGUAUGGCUCAGCCCUAGCGCACAACUAAAGUCAAUCCUAGGUCAAGAGGCAGAGCAAGCAAGCAGCUGACAGGGAGUGAACCUAAGUGAACAGAGUGGGGGUCUUUAAGACAGUGUGGAGAGAGAAAGCUUCCUUCAGAACAGUCAGUAAAUUAGGAAGACCCACUGGGUGGGUGCUCGCUCUGCCUCUCUGAGCUAACAGAGCUAGUUAAGCCAGCUGUCUUACUUACUUGCUUCUUUUUCACCCCUGCAUCUGGCUCUCAUUGGUAAAAUGAACAGCUGGGAAUUUUGUUUUUGAAGACAAUGGGUGGCCUGCACAUUUAGAUCUAUGCCCAGAUGUGUACUGCUUAGCUUGCCACCCUCACUGCUUUGCUCGGUAUCUAAAAACCUUUCUUUAAAAUGCUAGUUUAUUUUCCUUUGUGUAUGUGCAUUCACACAUGGAUAUUGAUGUUCAAAGCCCAAGGGUAUUAGAGUCCCUAGCAGCUAGAGUUACAGGUGGUUGUGAGCCAUCUGAGAGUGAGUGCUGGGAACUGAAUUUGGGUUUUUUAAGAGCGGUACAUGCUCUU